rnacentral:sRNA from 1 species
UAGACCACUUGAUUUUUCGCCUCGAUGGA